CGUUGAUUACGUCCCUGCCCUUUGUACACACCGCCCGUCGCUACUACCGAUUGAAUGGCUCAGUGAGGCCUUGGGACUGGCUCAGAGAGGUCGGCGACGACCACUCAGAGCCGGAAACUUGGUCAAACUUGGUCAUUUAGAGGAAGUAAAAGUCGUAACAAGG
rnacentral:rRNA from 1 species